rnacentral:rRNA from 1 species
AUUGAACGCUGGCGGCAGGCCUAACACAUGCAAGUCGAACGAGUGGCGGACGGGUGAGUAAUGUCUGGGAAACUGCCUGAUGGAGGGGGAUAACUACUGGAAACGGUAGCUAAUACCGCAUACCAUCGGAUGUGCCCAGAUGGGAUUAGCUAGUAGGUGGGGUAAAGGCUCACCUAGGCGACGAUCCCUAGCUGGUCUGAGAGGAUGACGAGCCACACUGGAACUGAGACACGGUCCCGAGUCCUAGGGGAGGCAGCAGUGGGGAAUAGUGCACAAUGGGCGCAAUCCUGAUGCAGUCAUGCCGCGUGUAUGAAGAAGGCCUUCGGGUUGCAAAGUACUUUCAGCGGGGAGGCGUUACCCGCAGAAGAAGCACCGGCUAACUCCGUGCCAGCAGCCGCGGUAAUUC